rnacentral:rRNA from 1 species
ACUAACAAGGAUUCCCUCAGUAGCGGCGAGCGAACAGGGAAAAGCCCAGCACUGAAUCCCGCGGCCGACAUCGGACGCCGGGAAAUGUAGUGUUAGGGAGGGUCCGCUAACCCGAGAUCGUGCGGCGCGUCCAAGUCCUCCUUGAACGGGGCCAUUUACCCAUAGAGGGUGCCAGGCCCGUAGCGGCCGCCGCCGGUAGCGGAUGGAUCUCUCCUCAGAGUCGGGUUGCUUGAGAGUGCAGCCCUAAGUGGGUGGUAAACUCCAUCUAAGGCUAAAUAUUACCACGAGACCGAUAGCGAACAAGUACCGUGAGGGAAAGUUGAAAAGAACUUUGAAGAGAGAGUUCAAUAGUACGUGAAACCGUUCAGGGGUAAACCUGAGAAGCCCGAAAGGUCGAACGGGGAGAUUCAGCGCGUCUCGUUUUUGUGCGAGCUUUGUGAUUUUCGACUGUCUUGCGUUCGCGCUUGGCAGCGUCAUCCGAAGCCGAUGCCUGAAACGAACGCGUGCACUUCUCCCUUUGUAGGACGUCGCGACCCGUUGGGUGCCGGUCUCAAGGGCCGCGGUGGAGCCCGACGGGGCGCGGAGAUUUAUCUCUGUCGCUCCCGUCGGACCCGCGGCAUUCCUGGCCGGCUCGCUCGACGGUAUGACAUCAGGCGAAGGGCCGCGAACUCUGGUUCGCGUCCGGCCUAUCGCGUGCGCGGGCACCUAUCCCGGACGUCGGACUUUUGCGCCGGCCCCGGGGGUGCCCGUUUGCACGCUUUAGUGUCCUCGGACAGGCCCGAUUUUAACACGCCCGUCUGCGACGCUUUAGCUUUGGGCACUUUCAGGACCCGUCUUGAAACACGGACCAAGGAGUCUAGCAUGUGCGCGAGUCAUUGGGACUGCUUUAAACCUAAAGGCGAAAUGAAAGUGAAGGCCGCUCUUUUAGGGCGUGCCGAGGGAGGAUGGGCCGCGUCGGACUUACCAAAGUCCGCGACCCCGCACUCCCGGGGCGUCUCGUUCUCAUUGCGAGAUGAGGCGCACCUAGAGCGUACACGCUGGGACCCGAAAGAUGGUGAACUAUGCCUGGUCAGGACGAAGUCAGGGGAAACCCUGAUGGAGGUCCGUAGCGAUUCUGACGUGCAAAUCGAUCGUCGGAACUGGGUAUAGGGGCGAAAGACUAAUCGAACCAUCUAGUAGCUGGUUCCCUCCGAAGUUUCCCUCAGGAUAGCUGGCGCUCGCGUGAAGCGAGUCUCAUCCGGUAAAGCGAAUGAUUAGAGGCAUUGGGGUCGAAACGGCCUCAACCUAUUCUCAAACUUUAAAUGGGUUAGAACUCCGGCUUGCUUGAACGAUGAAGCCGAUGAGUUUACGACCUCGGGCGGCGAUGUUUGUCGUCGUCCGGGUGUUCGUGACGGAUCAGAG